rnacentral:rRNA from 1 species
GAUGAACGCUGGCGGCGUGCCUAAUACAUGCAAGUCGAGCGAACGGACGAUAAGCUUGCUUCUCUGAUGUUAGCGGCGGACGGGUGAGUAACACGUGGAUAACCUACCUAUAAGACUGGGAUAACUUCGGGAAACCGGAGCUAAUAACGGAUAAUAUUUUGAACCGCAUGGUUCAAAAGUGAAAGACGGUCUUGCUGUCACUUAUAGAUGGAUCCGCGCUGCAUUAGCUAGUUGGUAAGGUAACGGCUUACCAAGGCAACGAUGCAUAGCCGACCUGAGAGGGUGAUCGGCCACACUGGAACUGAGACACGGUCCAGACUCCUACGGGAGGCAGCAGUAGGGAAUCUUGCGCAAUGGGCGAAAGCCUGACGGAGCAACGCCGCGUGAGUGAUGAAGGUCUUCGGAUCGUAAAACUCUGUUAUUAGGGAAGAACAGAUGUGUAAGUAACCGUGCACAUCUUGACGGUACCUAAUCAGAAAGCCACGGCUAACUUCGUG